rnacentral:rRNA from 1 species
UGGGGAAUUUUGGACAAUGGGCGAAAGCCUGAUCCAGCAAUGCCGCGUGUGUGAAGAAGGCCUUCGGGUUGUAAAGCACUUUUGUCCGGAAAGAAAUCCUCUGGGUUAAUACCUCGGGGGGAUGACGGUACCGGAAGAAUAAGCACCGGCUAACUACGUGCCAGCAGCCGCGGUAAUACGUAGGGUGCAAGCGUUAAUCGGAAUUACUGGGCGUAAAGCGUGCGCAGGCGGUUUUGUAAGACGGAUGUGAAAUCCCCGGGCUUAACCUGGGAACUGCAUUCGUGACUGCAAGGCUAGAGUAUGGCAGAGGGGGGUAGAAUUCCACGUGUAGCAGUGAAAUGCGUAGAGAUGUGGAGGAAUACCGAUGGCGAAGGCAGCCCCCUGGGCCAAUACUGACGCUCAUGCACGAAAGCGUGGGGAGCAAACAGGAUUAGGAUACCCUGGUAGUCCACGCCCUAAACGAUGUCAACUAGUUGUUGGGGAUUCAUUUCCUUAGUAACGUAGCUAACGCGUGAAGUUGACCGCCUGGGGAGUACGGUCGCAAGAUUAAAACUUAAAGGAAUUGACGGGGUCAUAGCUGUUUCC